rnacentral:rRNA from 1 species
GACGUAGGAGGCGAGCGUUGUCCGGAUUCAUUGGGCGUAAAGAGCGCGCAGGCGGCUUGGUAAGUCGGAUGUGAAAUCCCGAGGCUCAACCUCGGGUCUGCCAUCCGAUACUGCCCGGCUUAGAGGUAGGUAGGGGAGAUCGGAAUUCCUGGAUGGUAGCGGUGAAAUGCGCAGAGUAUCAGGAGGAACACCGGUGGCGAAGGCGGAUCUCUGGCCUUACCUGACGCUCAGGCGCGAAAGCUAGGGGAGCGAACUGG